CCGACGUAGUAUAAAAAAAAAAUUAAAUUAUGGAAAAUAAAAAUCAGAAUGGUAGAAAAUUUUUGAGCAUGCCUUUAUCUGUUACUAUUUCAAUUUCCUUAACAUGUACAAUUGAGAAUAGGGGUAAGGAGAACACUGUCAGAUCUCGGACAAAAAACCUCAAAUAUAGAUGGUGCAACUCACUAACAGUACUUUGCACUCUGUCAAUAAUAGCCAAGUAAAUUCAUGUCAUAUUGUCACUACUUU